UGUGUGUUUGGAACGGAACCGCCGCCGUUGUUUUGGUACUGAAGACAACAGCCAUCAAACAUGAGCAUUUAAAGCUGAGGAAAACAGAAAAAAAAAACAUUGUGCUUUAAACUUCCCGUAUGUUCUCUUUUUAUAAUUUUCCACAACAGCCUUCUUAUUUCUAACGUUACACUAUGUUGCUUACAUUGAGGAAGUUCAGAUUUGUUUUCACUCAGCAGAUAGAUGUUUUCUCUUCAGAAAAUACGAAGUAACUUAUAUAACUAAUAUCGAAUAUGUUUAUUUUGUUAAUAAAAAUAUGGAGAGUCUAGACUUUUCUGAGGAGGAGAGCCAUCAGCAGUUGGCUUCACUCGGAUACAGAAAUAUUCCCAAACAAAGAGAGGUCAGAUAAUAUUGUUAACGGUUUCAAAUCUCUCUGUAUUGUCAUACAUCGUGCGAAACUAUUAUGUACAAGACUGCCAUGAUGGCAGUACAAACAACAUGAUUUAAAUACAAUUUACAGUAGGCUAUAUGUAUAAAUAUAAACAUGAACAAUAUACACAUUUAACACAAGUAUUCACGUUUUACACACAUUUAACACAAUAACCACAGUAUGCACAGGAGAUAUAGACUGACUUGUAUAUAACUGACAGUGAUGUAAGUAUUGCUGUUAGAUAGCAGCUGAUGUGCUGUAUAAUGAUUGUGGGCUCAAACCAAAUUUCUUCAGUUGCCUGAGGAAGAAGAGAAGAAAUUUCAUCCUCGUCAGUGCUUUUUUUGGGGGCAUUUCAUUUUCACAUUAUAGAACAUGUUUUGCCUUGAAGUAGUGCAGUCAUGUUGUAAAUCUGAUUCGUCAUGAGAAGUCAGAGUCACAGCUCCAGCGAGUGGACUUCUCCAACAUCUCACAGCAGCUCCGGCAAGAGUCCACCUGCACUUAUUAAAGAAGAGGGGGAAGAGAACACUCCUGCUUCAUGCUUUCAUGUGACGUUAAAGCAUUUUUUUAGCACACUUAACCAAUAACUUAUCCAUAUUUUCCAUAUCUAGAUUUUCUCCUCCACGUUUAAUGAGGAUGAUCAUGGAGACUCUGGUAUGAAUCACUACUAUGAUUUGUAUUCACAGCACUCAGUUGCCCACAGACCGACUCGGCCCUCCACAGCACCCAACAGGCUGGAGACAGAGGAAGGACCUUCUACAAUAUUUCACUCAGUUUCGGAUGGUAGUGAGACAAGUACAGUUAGUGAGCUGGAGGAGUGUCAGGAACGUAUGCGGAUUGGUGCAUUUCGUGUGCAGUAUGACUCAGAGACUGAUGAAACCAGAAGCUAUACUGCCAGAUCCAGCUCUGUGUCAGAGGAACCCACCGAUGCUUUCCAAGAAUACAUCAGAGGCAUGGUCAGAAACACUUUCACACUUAACAAUCCUAAACGGUUUCGAAUUUGAAUCUUAAAUUUGUCCAUUCAACAAACUCGAUCCCACAGUGAGAGUGAUGUCCGACUUCGUCCAAAGUCAUGCAAGUCCACUUUUCAUGUCUAGUUUCAGUUUCUUUUGACUCGUGGUUGUCAGUUUGCAUUACACUCGGAUUCAGUUCAGUUAUACGGCCAGUUUUUAAUCAUCCUCACAUGAGGAACUUGAAGAAAACUGAUCCAGUGGCAAAGUUUUUCCAGUAUAAGCAGGACUGGGAGAUGUUAAAACCUGGGUCAUUAGGGAACAACUUACGUAUCAGCCUCCACCACAGAGACCUCAGAAGACGUACUACCCCAACACUUAUGUGGUUCCAACAGAGAAGAAGCGUUCUGCUCUAAGAUGGGAGAUCUAUGCCUUAUCUUUCAUAUAUGUCUAAUAACAUUAUUUAUUCAUUAAAAUGCUUUUUUUUUAUUCAUUGUACAUGUGAAAUGAGACCUCAAGAUCAUUGUUUUUAUGAAAUAAACCUUUUAAUACUUUGAA